rnacentral:lncRNA from 1 species
GGUGGCCCUGGGGACAUCUCAGGUGGCCUUGGGGACACCUGGGGGGACCUUGGGGACGUCUGGGGGUCCUUGGGGACAUUUUGGGGCUCCUGGGAUGAAUUUCGGGUCCUCUGGGACAUUUCGGGUCCCUCAGGGACAUUUUUGGGGACAUUUUGGGCUUUUUUGGGGACAUUUUUGGCAUUUUUGGGACAUUUUGGGCUUUUUUGGGGACAUUUUUGGUAUUUUGGGGACAUUUUUGGCUUUUUUGGGGACAUUUUGGGGCUCCCGGGCGGCGCCGUGGCUUUUUUGGGGACAUUUUGGGGCUCCCGGGCGGCGCCGUCCAAGGCGGGAUCACCAAAAGGGGGCGUGGCCAGCGGGAUUUAUGCAAAUGAGCUUUUCGGGGAGGGCGUGUCUAUGCAAACGAACUCAAUAAAGCGUGAUAAAGCCUUUAAUUAUGCAAA